UACGUAGGGUGCAAGCGUUGUCCGGAAUUAUUGGGCGUAAAGAGCUCGUAGGCGGCCACUCAAGUCGAAUGUGAAACCUCGAGGCUUAACCUCGAGCCUGCAUUCGAUACUGGGCGGCUAGAGUCUGGUAGGGGGAUCUGGAAUUCCUGGUGUAGCGGUGAAAUGCGCAGAUAUCAGGAGGAACACCGGUGGCGAAGGCGGGUCUCUGGGCCGAUACUGACGCUGAGGAGCGAAAGCGUGGGGAGCGAACAGG
rnacentral:rRNA from 1 species